rnacentral:rRNA from 1 species
UAGGGAAUCUUCGGCAAUGGACGAAAGUCUGACCGAGCAACGCCGCGUGAGUGAAGAAGGUUUUCGGAUCGUAAAACUCUGUUGUUAGAGAAGAACAAGGACGUUAGUAACUGAACGUCCCCUGACGGUAUCUAACCAGAAAGCCACGGCUAACUACGUGCCAGCAGCCGCGGUAAUACGUAGGUGGCAAGCGUUGUCCGGAUUUAUUGGGCGUAAAGCGAGCGCAUGCGGUUUCUUAAGUCUGAUGUGAAAGCCCCCGGCUCAACCGGGGAGGGUCAUUGGAAACGGGGGGACUUGAGUGCAGAAGAGGAGAGUGGAAUUCCAUGUGUAGCGGUGAAAUGCGUAGAUAUAUGGAGGAACACCAGUGGCGAAGGCGGCUCUCUGGUCUGUAACUGACGCUGAGGCUCGAAAGCGUGGGGAGCAAACAGG